AUAUUUUCUUUAAGUAUUGUCUCGUCCAGUAAAAUAAUUUGUUCUUAUCAGCUUGAUAUCUGUUACGUCCUGUAUCACAGGAGUAGAAUAUUAAAUUUAUUUUUGGAUGAUGACUGAGGGCUAAGAGCAUGCUCUGCCUCUGCUACAGGAUGCCCCCACACAUACGAAUUCUGUUAAGGUAGCCAAAUGCCU